rnacentral:sRNA from 1 species
UUUUAGCCCAGAUAGGAACGGCAUCUCCCGAUUUUAAAAAAAUAAGGCUUUUUCAGCCGUAGUUUUUAUAAUCGGGAAUACAGUGGAUAGCUGGAAAAAGC